AGUGUAUAGGAAGUGUGCGCGUUUGUUAGUUUAUUCGUUUGUCUAAUAAAUUAGUAGUAAAGUGUGCGUAGUCAGGAUUUGUGUGCGAUAGUUAAGAUAAAGCCAACGAUAUAAGCCGUUUGGCUAUUUUCAUUCGCAGCAAUCAGACUCGCACCCAAGCGUGCGAAUUUCCACCCCUCCACGGACGAAAGCAUUCCCAGCAACCGUCAACCCGCUGGAAGCCGGACGAUCCGCCAACAUAUCGUCCGGGCGAGGCCCAGGGGACCUCCACUUGGACAGGGUCUGUAAAUCGGUCCGCUUCAGCCAUCGUCAACGGCCAUCGCGAUCUACCACCGCGUGUCGCCAUCACCGCAUCACCACCGUUUAGAGCGGGCAAGCCAACCGCCAUCGACCAAGCAGGCGCUUGGCGUCAUCGUCGCCGCUCGAGACGGGCACAUUGACCUGCCCGUAGGUCAACGACUGGGCCGGUAAGCCAUCAGAAUCCGGUGAGUCCAUCCAGUGGAAGUUUUCUUUUUGUGGAGUGGGGCGUCCGCUGAGGGCGCCUCGGAGUUGUUUUUUGUCCAGUCAAAAGACUGAAGGAAUGUGCCCAUAAAGCCAUUCACAAAAUUGGUGACACCGUGAAGCGUGCGUGACGAAUUGCCGCCGCUAGAACUUCUUGUCACCAGGAGCGCAGACUAGCCCACCAAUGCGCUGCUAGAAAAGUGACGUCACAUCAAGAACACAAAUAGCACGUGAGCACAAGAGAGUUAGACAGGGAGAGAACAAGCACACAUAGUAGGGACAGAGAAGAGAGGACGAACACAAAACCAAACAUGAAUGAGAAAAUCUAAAAUGUAAGAAUCAAACCAAAUACAUGUAAUCGAAAAGCUAAAUAUGUCUCUCUUAUAAUAAAUGUAGUUCUGUCCCCAAUCCCCUGAUGUUUAGUUGAUUUCAUGUAUUGUACGUCACGUCGCGUUUGUUGUUUUCGAGUCCCGUCCUCCACCAUAUGGGAGUGUGACG